rnacentral:lncRNA from 1 species
GCCUUCCUCUUUAUAUAGGCUUAGAGAGCCACUACUCGAAGCCAAGCCUUACGUCAGGCAGCAGAGAUACCAAGAUGAGGUUGAAGAAAACACACGGCUUUCUCCACUCAUGGACUCCAAUGAGGAUGGCAACAACAUGGUAAUUAGAAGUCAUUAGCAGAUUGCUCUCAGCAAGUGGAAAGCAGUGAGAAUUCUGAAGCAAGACUUCUCUGGACUUCAGGGAAGUCCCUCUAAGGAAGUGACAUCUAAACUGGAACUCCACUGCCUCUAGUAUGUCUACUCUGGAGUUCCCACCUUUAAGGGUUUCUGGGAACAUUAAUAUAUAUAGUGGCUGAGACUUGACCUUGUGACUCCAGCCUAGGAUUAUAUAAGGAUGUGACUGACCUUAGAGGAUUUCACGGGAACUUAGCUGUACACGUGGAACCCAUUUAUUUGCUGACACUUCUCAUUUCCUUUCAGAACAAACCUACAUUCCCAGACCUAUAAUUUUCUUGAGAAAAUGGGUUUAUUAUAAGUCACUCAAUAAAACACCCUACCAUGGCUUCCCAGUACAAA